rnacentral:rRNA from 1 species
GACAGAGGGUGCAAGCGUUGUUCGGAAUCAUUGGGCGUAAAGGGCGCGUAGGCGGCCUCGUAAGUCGGAUGUGAAAGCCCAGGGCUCAACCUUGGAAGUGCAUCCGAAACUGUGUGGCUUGAAUCUCGGAGAGGGUGGUGGAAUUCCCAGUGUAGAGGUGAAAUUCGUAGAUAUUGGGAGGAACACCGGUGGCGAAGGCGACCGCCUGGACGAAGAUUGACGCUGAGGCGCGAGAGCGUGGGGAGCAAACAGG